CUGUGUUGGAGCAGAGGGGUGUGUCUGGCUCAGCAAGACAGUGCUGGGGCCCCAAGCUGGCAGGAAAAGCAGGGGCAGAGAUAGUCUUCACAUGUCAGGUGGCAGCUCCCAAGGGGGGUUCUGUGAUCCAACCUGUCACAGGACCCACUUGGUAGAAGGAGCCCAGAUAACCUUUCCCCCCCUUUCCCUGUGUUUGCUCCACCCCUCUGACACAGGGUGAUGCUGGUCAGAAAUACUGUCACACAGCUAGCGGGUUUUGCUGCCCUCACCUUUCCCCAUCCCCUGCCCCAGGGGUAGCAGAUGGUGAUGGACGGGGACCUUUGACUCCUCUCAGAAUUUCCUGUCCCUGUGAAAUCUCAAUGUAAAAUAUGAAUGAAAAAGAUUAUUCUAAUAUAGAAAAUGUUAUUACUGUAACAAGCUGUAAAAGCAAUAACAUUUUCA